UUAACUCAGAGACAGAACUCCCUAAACGAAUAUUUACAUGUUUUGCUAAUUUAGUGAAUCAGCUAGUUGAGGUUGAAAGUUAGAUAAUUUCAUUGGAGAUUGGGCCAGAAUUGAAACUUGAAAGCCCAAAUCUUUGUUGGAGAAAUUCAUGAUGUUGUAUAACAUUGUUUUGAGAACCAAUUUUUUCUUAACUGUUGUUUUUCUUUGCUCAUACAUGUUUAAAAUACUGUUUGACAUUUAAUGCAUUAUUCAUUGAUUAAUAGUUUUGAAUUUGGGACUUAGAAAACCUGAAUUGUAGUUCCUAGGGCAGUGUUUUUGAAAAAAGAAAUACUGAUAGUAGAUUACCUCGAAGUUGUUGAAAUGUAAUUCUGACACUACUGGGAGUUAACAUAGACUUUAUAGGUUAAGAUCAUAGUCCCCCACGAGACUAUCCUCACUUAAGACAUGAGCCACAAAUUUGGGGGUCCCGACGCUACCUGUGCUCCUGACCACUGGCUGCACAUCUAGGAGUUUGCAUGAUCCAUUUAGGUUCAAUAAUUCACUAGAAUGACUCACAGUGCCCAGGAAAGUGCUAUACACUACUUAAAAUUACGGUUGUAUUAUCCUGAAUACUCCCCGCUAAUAUUUUUUAAACACUGUAUUUUGAAAUGAUUGUAGAUACAUGGAAGGUUGUAAAAAUAGCAGAGUCCCUUGAAUCCUUUCCCUAGCUCCCCCCAGUGGUGGCAUCUUACGUAACUGUAGUAUAAUAUUGAAAUCAGGAAAUUGACAUUUGUAUAGUAUUACUAAAGUUUCUUGUAAUUUGGCCAUUUUGGAAUCUGAAGAACCAGUGUUUUCUUUAAUUCUCAUUAUUUCUUUAGAAAUGUUUAUCGUUUUCUAAAUCUCUAAUUUCUGAUACUGCAGCUUCUAUUUAAAACAGGGCCUUAUAUUUUCCAUUCAUUUACCUUUUAAAAAAUGAAUUAUAAUAUCUACUGUUUUUAUGACUUAAGAAAAAUCAUUGAAACAUCACUGAGAACUGUUGCUUACCAUCAAAAUGGGCAAUUUCCCUAGGUGACCAUAUCCAUACUCAGGCUUUAGAAUAGUCACUGAAAUCAUGUGGGGGUUUUUUGUUGUUGUUGUUUUUAGGCCAAGGAAGCUAUCCAAGAAUUUUGUGAAUAAGGCUGAGAAUUGACCUUGGCAGAAUUCAUGAGGAAGAUGUGUUUCUUGUUUUGUGUGGUCAAAGAGGGUUUUUCAUCCAAACAUUGCCCUCAUUUCUUCUUUUUCCACUGAUGUUUUUUUCAUUUAUUUUUUUAAGUGUCUAGAGACUUUAACUUCUUUAAGUGUUAUUUUUGGUAGAGCUUUAUUUUCAGUGAUUUAUCUUGGGAGAAGCUGAGUGAGAGGUUCAGAUUUCAAGACAAACCAAGGAUGAUUUGUCUUUGCUUUGGGACUUAACAAUGAGAUAUUAAGAAAAACUUUAAAAAACUAAUAUUAUAGUUUUGUUAUGAAAGCUACAAUCAGACAUUCUUAGAUUGCUUUAUUUUAUUCAAUGGAAUUUGAGUUUUUGAUGGUUUUGUUAGCAUUUUGGGGUUCAGGGGAGCCCUUAGCUCCCCUGAGAGGACGUUUCUCCAAGGUUCUUGGUUUCCCACCGCUCUCUCAAGAAUGAGAGAGGGGACCACGGCAGGUGCGCUUGUAAAGUAAAUAUUAGACUCAGAAAGCUUUUGCAGAAAAGUGAUUUAUUUAGGUGGAGAAAGAGAAAAGAGAGUAAGAAAUAGCCAACUCUCACACUGAAUGAGAGAAAGAAAACCCGCUCUCCCACUGAGUGAGAAGGGUUCCCAGAGGGGGAAAACCAGAGAAGGAAAACUCCUCUCACACUGAGUGAGAGAAUCCAGAAAGAUGGAAUCCAGGAGAGGAAAGCAGCUUCCACACUGAGUGGAAGGGAAUUGUGAGAGGGAUGGAGUUUGGGAGGGAAAGACAGGCUACCACGAGAGUGUGUGGAAAGGGACUCCAGAGGGAGUAUCUGCCGGGUGUGGGGACAAGGACUUUUAAGCUGGGAGGAAUUCCCUCCUUCUCCAAGCCCCCUGGCCAAUGAAAAGAGUUCCCUUAAACCCCUUUAAACUUCCUCUGGAUUGAUUGACUUUUGACCCUUUCCUGCACCCGAGAAAAUUAAAACCGAGACCUUUAAAUCUCCCAGAUGGAGAGAGAUGGGAGGAGGGCAUGGCACUUGGAAAGUUCUUGCCCUUAAAACUACGCCCCCUUGUGGACCCAGAAAGAGAGCACAUUCCCUCAGUUUCUUCAUGUAAAUAGGAAGCCACCAGAAGAAGGCCUGUCAUAAGUAAACUUCAUUAUCCUAGUUAAAGGGAUCUUGCUAAAGAAAAGUAUAGUGAAUGGUGAUGGGAGUUUGACCUAGUGGUAAAUGUUUUGUGAUUGCUGGCCACUGAACUUUGACUUAGGCAAUCUAGUUAAUUUCUGACACUCAAGCAUGGUUCAUGCAUUUGUUCGUUCAUACAACACAUUUUUAUUGAGCCACGUAGGCAGUGGGAUAUUAUAUGGAGCAAAAACUGCUGUGAUACCCUUCCCCAUGGAACUGAGGGUCUGACAGAGAGGACAGAAAUGUUAAGUGUUUAAAUUGCACCUGUGACAGCAGUAUAAGAGUAGAUAUUAGGGAAUACUUAUAUUAGCGAGAUUUGACCAGUUUAGAGAAGGCAUCCUCAAGAAAUGAUACUUGUGCUAUGUUCUGAAGGAGGAGUAGAUGUUAACUUGGCAAAGAAAGGAGAGAUGGGAGACGGUUGUCCAGACAGAAGAAGCAGCAAGUGCAGAGGCCCUAUGGUGGAAG